UGCUAUGGCAAUACCACCCUGAAUAAGCCUGAUGUCUGAUCUCCGAAACUAAGCAGGGUCGGGCCUAGUUCGUACCUGGAUGGGAGACCACCUAGGGAGACCAGGUGCUGUUGGCA
rnacentral:rRNA from 1 species